rnacentral:rRNA from 1 species
GACGAACGCUGGCGGCGUGCUUAACACAUGCAAGUCGAACGGAAAGGCCCUGCUUUUGUGGGGUGCUCGAGUGGCGAACGGGUGAGUAACACGUGAGUAACCUGCCCUUGACUUUGGGAUAACUUCAGGAAACUGGGGCUAAUACCGGAUAGGAGCUCCUGCUGCAUGGUGGGGGUUGGAAAGUUUCGGCGGUUGGGGAUGGACUCGCGGCUUAUCAGCUUGUUGGUGGGGUAGUGGCUUACCAAGGCUUUGACGGGUAGCCGGCCUGAGAGGGUGACCGGCCACAUUGGAACUGAGAUACGGCCCAGACUCCUACGGUAGGCAGCAGUGGGGAAUAUUGCACAAUGGGCGGAAGCCUGAUGCAGCAACGCCGCGUGCGGGAUGACGUCCUUCGGGUUGUAAUCCGCUUUCGCCUGUGACGAAGCGUGAGUGACGGUAAUGGGUAAAGAAGCACCGGCUAACUACGUG